rnacentral:rRNA from 1 species
UACGUAGGGGGCAAGCGUUGUCCGGAUUUAUUGGGCGUAAAGAGCGUGUAGGCGGUUAUACAGGUCCGCUGUGAAAACUUGAGGCUCAACCUCAAGAGGUCGGUGGAAACCAUCUAGCUAGAGUCCGGAAGAGGAGACUGGAAUUCCUGGUGUAGCGGUGAAAUGCGCAGAUAUCAGGAAGAACACCCGUGGCGAAGGCGGGUCUCUGGGACGGUACUGACGCUGAGACGCGAAAGCGUGGGGAGCGAACAGG